CUGCCAAUCAGAUCUGAUCCCUGCCCUGGGAACUCCACAUGCUACUGGCGGGGGCAGGGCGGGGGGGGGGGGGGGGGAAUGAACAAAAAAGGAAAAAAAAAAGAAAAGACAGGAUAUUCAAAACUGAAAAUUAUAGGCCAGUCUCACUUAUAAAUAUGGGAAAUUUCUAAAUCAAUAUUUGUGAACAAAAUCCAGCAGAAUAUUAAACAUGUACCAUCACAUCUGUUUCAGAUAUUCAAGAAUGGGAAUUUAGGGAAAUAUUUGUAUGGACUGAGUGCAAGGAUGAACCUUUUCAUUGACAAACUUAAAUGCUAUAAAGAAAACAUCAUUAAUCUCCUAACACAGCCUGGAAAAAGUACAGAGCAAUAAACAUCAAGAGAAAAUGCCUGCAGCUGACAUCAAAGUCUUGCUAAUCCUAAGACAAAGUUGAUGAGACUGAAGGGAGAAGGGCUGGAAAAAGGUGUCCAUAAAGCAGAGCCUGCCAAUGCAUAGAGCUGGGAGUUGGAAACAGGCAAUUUUAUAGGCUGGAAAGAAAAACUGCUGCUGGCUCUUCCUCAAGCCUUUCUCUUAAGGAGUCUGCUCCUGGUCCUGUGUAACCAGCUGCAUCUUCCCAGCCACUUUCUCUUGGAGUUAUCUUAAAUUCCAGCCAGCUCUGCCCAGAAAAUUUGCACCUCAUCAUGACGGAAAACUUCUCAUGUCCUAUUUCUGGUCAAGAGGAUUUAUUUACAACCCCCUUGCCAUCUGAGCUGAUCUUCAAGAUGCAUCUGGUUCCCAAUUCUGGACUCUUUCAUUGCUCUAGUGUAGAAGGUGGCAGCUGCCAACGCCCUUUUGUAUUUAAGUUAAAAUUAAAUUAAACUAAAAUUCGGGGUGGCACGACUGAAAUGCUGGACGGCCCCACGCGGCUUGUGGCUCCUGCACUGGACCAGGAAGAGAACCCCUCUGUGAAUGCAGUGUUCUUUCCACCGCAGGGCCGGUAGAGGGCGCUUCUGCCUCUUCCGUUGGGUGGACCCAUUGCCUUUCUGAUACCCACACUGCUGAGUCCUUGAGAGCUAGGUUAGUACUUUGUACCUGGCACAUACGCAAAUCACUGAAUAGUCUGUGAUCUGUUUCCAUCCUGCAAAUAAGUUCAUUCGUACCUUUUUUUAAAGCCUCUCUAUAUAAGUGAUAUCACAUGAUGUCUGUCUCUCACUGUCUGACUUACUUCACUUAGUGUGGUAAUUUCUAGGUCCACCCAUGUCACUGCAAAUGCCAUUAUUUCAUUCUUUUUGAUGGCUGAGUAAUAUUCCACUGUAUAUAUGUACCACAUCUACUUUAUCCAUUCCUUUGUCUAUGGACACUUGAAAAACUUAUGGUUAUCAAAGGGGACAGGGGGAAGGAGGCAGGGAGGGAUGGACUGGGGGUUUGGGGUGGAAAUGUCCUAAGAUUCUGUUGCGAUGAUGGUUAUACAACUAUAAAUAUAAUAAAAUUCAAAAAGUUAAAAUAAGAAUAAAUAAA
rnacentral:lncRNA from 1 species